rnacentral:rRNA from 1 species
ACGAACGCUGGCGGCGUGCUUAACACAUGCAAGUCGAACGGAAAGGCCCUGCUUUUGUGGGGUGCUCGAGUGGCGAACGGGUGAGUAACACGUGAGUAACCUGCCCUUGACUUUGGGAUAACUUCAGGAAACUGGGGCUAAUACCGGAUAGGAGCUCCUGCUGCAUGGUGGGGGUUGGAAAGUUUCGGCGGUUGGGGAUGGACUCGCGGCUUAUCAGCUUGUUGGUGGGGUAGUGGCUUACCAAGGCUUUGACGGGUAGCCGGCCUGAGAGGGUGACCGGCCACAUUGGGACUGAGAUACGGCCCAGACUCCUACGGGAGGCAGCAGUGGGGAAUAUUGCACAAUGGGCGGAGGCCUGAUGCAGCAACGCCGCGUGCGGGAUGACGGCCUUCGGGUGGUAAACCGCUUUCGCCUGUGACGAAGCGUGAGUGACGGUAAUGGGUAAAGAAGCACCGGCUAACUACGU